AGAGUUUGAUUCUGGCUCAGGACGAACGCUGGCGGCGUGCCUAACACAUGCAAGUCGAGCGGGGACAUACGACGGAGUCAAAGUUUCGGAUGGAGACGAAGAUGUAUGUUCUAGCGGCGGACGGGUGAGUAACGCGUGAGCAACCUGUCCCUUACAGGGGGAUAACACAGCGAAAGUUGUACUAAUACCGCAUGAGACCACGGGGAGACAUCUUCCAGGGGUCAAAGGAGCAAUCCGGUAAGGGGUGGGCUCGCGUCCGAUUAGAUAGUUGGUGAGGUAACGGCCCACCAAGUCGACGAUCGGUAGCCGACCUGAGAGGGUGAUCGGCCACAUUGGGACUGAGACACGGCCCAAACUCCUACGGGAGGCAGCAGUGGGGAAUAUUGGGCAAUGGGGGAAACCCUGACCCAGCAACGCCGCGUGAGGGAAGAAGGUUUUCGGAUCGUAAACCUCUGUCCUUGGUGAAGAGGAAGAGACGGUAGCCAAGGAGGAAGCCCCGGCUAACUACGUGCCAGCAGCCGC
rnacentral:rRNA from 1 species